UUUCUACUCCCUCCGUCCGAAAAUACUUGUCAUCAAAAUGGAUAAAAAGAGAUGUAUCUAAAACUAAAAUACGUCUAGAUACAUUUCCUUNAAAAGAGAUGUAUCUAAAACUAAAAUACGUCUAGAUACAUUUCCUUUUAUCCAUUUUGAUGACAAGUAUUUUCGGACGGAGGGAGUAUUUG
rnacentral:pre_miRNA from 1 species